AGUGAACGCUGGCGGUAGGCCUAACACAUGCAAGUCGAACGGCAGCACAGUAAGAGCUUGCUCUUACGGGUGGCGAGUGGCGGACGGGUGAGGAAUACAUCGGAAUCUACUUUUUCGUGGGGGAUAACGUAGGGAAACUUACGCUAAUACCGCAUACGACCUACGGGUGAAAGCAGGGGAUCUUCGGACCUUGCGCGAUUGAAUGAGCCGAUGUCGGAUUAGCUAGUUGGCGGGGUAAAGGCCCACCAAGGCGACGAUCCGUAGCUGGUCUGAGAGGAUGAUCAGCCACACUGGAACUGAGACACGGUCCAGACUCCUACGGGAGGCAGCAGUGGGGAAUAUUGGACAAUGGGCGCAAGCCUGAUCCAGCCAUACCGCGUGGGUGAAGAAGGCCUUCGGGUUGUAAAGCCCUUUUGUUGGGAAAGAAAAGCAGCAGGUUAAUACCCCGCUGUUCUGGCGGUACCCAAAGAAUAAGCACCGGCUAACCUCGUG
rnacentral:rRNA from 1 species